rnacentral:rRNA from 1 species
CUCCUACGGGGGGCAGCAGUGGGGGAUAUUGGACAAUGGGGGAAACCCUGAUCCAGCGACGCCGCGUGAGUGAAGAAGUAUUUCGGUAUGUAAAGCUCUAUCAGCAGGGAAGAAAGAAAUCACGGUACCUGAGUAAGAAGCCCCGGCUAACUACGUGCCAGCAGCCGCGGUAAUACGUAGGGGGCAAGCGUUAUCCGGAUUUACUGGGUGUAAAGGGAGCGUAGACGGCGAUUCAAGCCAGAUGUGCAAGCCCGCGGCUCAACUGCGGUAGUGCAUUUGGAACUGU